rnacentral:rRNA from 1 species
CUACGGGAGGCAGCAGUGGGGAAUAUUGCACAAUGGGCGAAAGCCUGAUGCAGCGACGCCGCGUGAGUGAAGAAGUAUUUCGGUAUGUAAAGCUCUAUCAGCAGGGAAGAUAAUGACAGUACCUGACUAAGAAGCCCCGGCUAACUACGUGCCAGCAGCCGCGGUAAUACGUAGGGGGCAAGCGUUAUCCGGAUUUACUGGGUGUAAAGGGAGCGUAGGUGGCGAUGCAAGUCCGAUGUGAAAGCCCAGGGCUCAACCCUGGGACUGCAUUGGAAACUGUGUUGCUAGAGUGCAGGAGAGGUAAGUGGAAUUCCUAGUGUAGCGGUGAAAUGCGUAGAUAUUAGGAGGAACACCAGUGGCGAAGGCGGCUUACUGGACUGUAACUGACACUGAGGCUCGAAAGCGUGGGGAGCAAACAGGAUUAGAUACCCUGGUAGUCCACGCCGUAAACGAUGAGUACUAGGUGUCGGGAAGCUAAAGCUUUUCGGUGCCGCAGCUAACGCAAUAAGUAUUCCACCUGGGGAGUACGUUCGCAAGAAUGAAACAUCAAAGG